rnacentral:rRNA from 1 species
AUUGAACGCUAGCGGCAUGCCUUACACAUGCAAGUCGAACGGUAACAGGUCUUCGGAUGCUGACGAGUGGCGAACGGGUGAGUAAUACAUCGGAACGUGCCUAGUAGUGGGGGAUAACUACUCGAAAGAGUGGCUAAUACCGCAUGAGAUCUACGGAUGAAAGCAGGGGAUCGCAAGACCUUGUGCUACUAGAGCGGCCGAUGGCAGAUUAGGUAGUUGGUGGGAUAAAAGCUUACCAAGCCGACGAUCUGUAGCUGGUCUGAGAGGACGAUCAGCCACACUGGGACUGAGACACGGCCCAGACUCCGACGGGAGGCAGCAGUGGGGAAUUUUGGACAAUGGGCGCAAGCCUGAUCCAGCAAUGCCGCGUGCAGGAUGAAGGCCUUCGGGUUGUAAACUGCUUUUGUACGGAACGAAAAGCCCCGGGUUAAUACCCUGGGGUCAUGACGGUACCGUAAGAAUAAGCACCGGCUAACUACGUGCCAGCAGCCGCCGCAG